rnacentral:rRNA from 1 species
CAGCAGCCGCGGUAACACGGAGGGUGCAAGCGUUAAUCGGAAUUACUGGGCGUAAAGCGCACGCAGGCGGUCUGUCAAGUCAGAUGUGAAAUCCCCGGGCUUAACCUGGGAACUGCAUUUGAAACUGGCAGGCUAGAGUCUUGUAGAGGGGGGUAGAAUUCCAGGUGUAGCGGUGAAAUGCGUAGAGAUCUGGAGGAAUACCGGUGGCGAAGGCGGCCCCCUGGACAAAGACUGACGCUCAGGUGCGAAAGCGUGGGGAGCAAACAGGAUUAGAUACCCCUGUAGUCCCUGUCUCUUAUAC